UGGGGAAUAUUGCACAAUGGACGGAAGUCUGAUGCAGCGACGCCGCGUGGGGGAUGAAGGCUUUCGGGUUGUAAACUCCUUUCAGUACAGAAGAAGCUUUAUUGUGACGGUAUGUGCAGAAGAAGCGCCGGCUAACUACGUGCCAGCAGCCGCGGUAAUACGUAGGGCGCGAGCGUUUUCCGGAAUUAUUGGGCGUAAAGAGCUCGUAGGCGGUUUGUCGCGUCUGCUGUGAAAGACCGGGGCGUAACUCCGGGGCUGCAGUGGGUACGGGCAGGCUGGAGUGCGGUAGGGGUAACCGGAAUUACUGGUGUAGCGGUGGAAUGCGCAGAUAUCAGGAGGAACACCGAUGGCGAAGGCAGGUUACUGGGCCGUUACUGACGCUGAGGAGCGAAAGCAUGGGGAGCGAACAGG
rnacentral:rRNA from 1 species